ensembl:rRNA 5S_rRNA 5S ribosomal RNA
CCCUGCAGGUGCAUAUCACCCUGCAGCCCAAUACUGGUUGCCCACUGAAGUUAAGCAGGGUUGAGCCUGGUCAGUACCUGGAUGGGAGACCUCCUGGGAAAACUAGGUUGCUGCUGGAA